UACGUAGGGGGCAAGCGUUGUCCGGAUUCAUUGGGCGUAAAGAGCGUGUAGGCGGCUAGGUAGGUCCGUUGUGAAAACUCGAGGCUCAACCUCGAGACGUCGAUGGAAACCAUCUAGCUAGAGUCCGGAAGAGGAGAGUGGAAUUCCUGGUGUAGCGGUGAAAUGCGCAGAUAUCAGGAAGAACACCCGUGGCGAAGGCGGCUCUCUGGUACGUGACUGACGCUGAGACGCGAAAGCGUGGGGAGCGAACAGG
rnacentral:rRNA from 1 species